GUGGGGAAUAUUGCGCAAUGGGGGAAACCCUGACGCAGCAACGCCGCGUGAUUGAAGAAGGUCUUCGGAUUGUAAAAAUCUUUUAUCAAGGACGAAGAAGUGACGGUACUUGAUGAAUAAGCUCCGGCUAACUACGUGCCAGCAGCCGCGGUAAUACGUAGGGAGCAAGCGUUAUCCGGAUUUACUGGGUGUAAAGGGCGAGUAGGCGGGUCGGCAAGUUGGGAGUGAAAUGUCGGGGCUUAACCCCGGAACUGCUUCCAAAACUGUUGAUCUUGAGUGAUGGAGAGGCAGGCGGAAUUCCCAGUGUAGCGGUGAAAUGCGUAGAUAUUGGGAGGAACACCAGUGGCGAAGGCGGCCUGCUGGACAUUAACUGACGCUGAGGAGCGAAAGCGUGGGGAGCAAACAGG
rnacentral:rRNA from 1 species